AUGGUUGAAAUCGAGAAUGAGACAUGUUGUGCCGAACCAACCACCAAAACAGGGGAUAAUUUGGAGGUUUCCCGUUCUCUCGUGAAACAGAUCUCCGGCGCCGCCACCCUCCCUCUCUCCUCCGGAGACCAUCCUCUCCCCCGCCGGUGGAAUGCUCCCACUAUCCGGCCACCCCCACCCCGCCUCCCCACACCAACAGAGAACAGGAUCCCAAACUCGGCACCCAAAGGAGCACACAGAUGUGACAGGCCGGAUCGAUCCCAUCCCCGCCGCCGCAGUCAUCGGCCCACCGUCGCGGUCGCCGGUCCGCUGCCCACAAUGGCACUGACGCUGCCCUAA
rnacentral:rRNA from 1 species